UACGUAGGGAGCAAGCGUUGUUCGGAUUUACUGGGCGUAAAGGGCGCGUAGGCGGCAAAUUAAGUCAGCUGUGAAAUCUCCGAGCUUAACUCGGAACUGUCAGCUGAUACUGAUCUGCUAGAGUGCGGAAGGGGCAAUCGGAAUUCUUGGUGUAGCGGUGAAAUGCGUAGAUAUCUGGAGGAACACCGGUGGCGAAGGCGGCAUCCUGGACCGGCAUUGACGCUGAACAGCGAAAGCCAGGGGAGCAAACGGG
rnacentral:rRNA from 1 species